rnacentral:rRNA from 1 species
AACGAACGCUGGCGGCAUGCCUAACACAUGCAAGUCGAACGAGACCUUCGGGUCUAGUGGCGCACGGGUGCUUAACGCGUGGGAAUCUGCCCUUCGGUUGGUAAUAACACAGAGAAAUUUGUGCUAAUACCUUAUAAUGUCUUCGGACCAAAGAUUUAUCGCCGAGGGAUGAGCCCGCGUAGGAUUAGCUAGUUGGUGGGGUAAUGGCCUAACAAGGCGACGAUCCUUAGCUGGUCUGAGAGGAUGAUCAGCCACACUGGGACUGAGACACGGCCCAGGCUCCUACGGGAGGCAGCAGUGGGGAAUAUUGGACAAUGGGCGAAAGCCUGAUCCAGCAAUGCCGCGUGAGUGAUGAAGGCCUUAGGGUUGUAAAGCUCUUUUACCCGGGAUGAUAAUGUCAGUACCGGGAGAAUAAGCUCCGGCUAACUCCGUGCCAGCCGCCGCAGUAAAAC